rnacentral:rRNA from 1 species
AGUGAACGCUGGCGGUAGGCCUAACACAUGCAAGUCGAACGGCAGCACAGUAAGAGCUUGCUCUUACGGGUGGCGAGUGGCGGACGGGUGAGGAAUACAUCGGAAUCUACUUUUUCGUGGGGGAUAACGUAGGGAAACUUACGCUAAUACUGCAUACGACCUACGGGUGAAAGCAGGGGAUCUUCGGACCUUGCGCGAUUGAAUGAGCCGAUGUCGGAUUAGCUAGUUGGCGGGGUAAAGGCCCACCAAGGCGACGAUCCGUAGCUGGUCUGAGAGGAUGAUCAGCCACACUGGAACUGAGACACGGUCCAGACUCCUACGGGAGGCAGCAGUGGGGAAUAUUGGACAGAGGGCGCAAGCCUGAUCCAGCCAUACCGCGUGGGUGAAGAAGGCCUUCGGGUUGUAAAGCCCUUUUGUUGGGAAAGAAAAGCAGCAGGUUAAUACCCCACUGUUCUGACGGUACCCAAAGAAUAAGCACCGGCUAACUUCGUG